UAGGGAAUCUUCGGCAAUGGGGGGAACCCUGACCGAGCAACGCCGCGUGAGUGAAGAAGGUUUUCGGAUCGUAAAGCUCUGUUGUUAAGGAAGAACGGUAAUGGGAGUGGAAAGUCCAUUACGUGACGGUACUUAACCAGAAAGGGACGGCUAACUACGUGCCAGCAGCCGCGGUAAUACGUAGGUCCCGAGCGUUGUCCGGAUUUAUUGGGCGUAAAGCGAGCGCAGGCGGCUCUAUAAGUCUGAAGUGAAAGGCUAUGGCUCAACCAUAGUAUGCUUUGGAAACUGUAGGGCUUGAGUGCAGAAGGGGAGAGUGGAAUUCCAUGUGUAGCGGUGAAAUGCGUAGAUAUAUGGAGGAACACCGGUGGCGAAGGCGGCUUACUGGGCUUUACUGACGCUGAGGCUCGAAAGCGUGGGGAGCAAACAGGAUUAGAUACCCUGGUAGU
rnacentral:rRNA from 1 species